rnacentral:lncRNA from 1 species
UUUGUCUGUUUUUAUUAUGAGGAUAUCAUAAACUUCACCCCUGGGAAGUUUCCGCAAAUUCUCAUUCCCAGAACAAUAUUGAUGAAUCACCCAGAAUCUUAUUUUUAUAAUUAUGUCCUUUAGAUGGGUGCAAAGAUUUGAUGUUGAUUGAGAAAAACCAGUUGCCUUCUGCAGCAUGGAAGCUCACAGGUGAAGAUGAGAAGCAAGUGUUCAAGAGUUCAUCAGAUGACCUCGAAUCAUGGCUGUUGGCAAAAACAUGAAGCACAGCCAGGAGGAAAAAACUUUAAUUUUGCCCGUUUAUACCGAAGCAGAAGAAAGGUUUUGGUUAUUCUAUGCUAUCACUAAGCCAACUUAAAUACAGCAAACAGGACCACUUACAAAGAUUACUGGUUGGAUCUUAGUCCUACUAACUGAAGGUUACAAAGUCCUGCAUUCCAAACAAGUGACUGGAAAAACAUUCGUACAAUGCAUGGUCUCAUGUAUUUCACACUGACUGAAACCUUAGGCCAGACAAGUUACAACCUUCCACUAGGAAAUAGGCAAGCCAUUGAAAAAGCUCCGGGAAUGCUUAGUUAAGUAGCUUAAGUUUGG